CAGUCGCCACGGGAAUACGAAGGGUGCAAGCGUUAAUCGGAAUUACUGGGCGUAAAGCGUGCGUAGGCGGUUUGUUAAGUCUGUUGUGAAAUCCCCGGGCUCAACCUGGGAAUGGCAAUGGAUACUGGCAAGCUAGAGUGUGUCAGAGGAUGGUGGAAUUCCCGGUGUAGCGGUGAAAUGGGUAGAGAUCGGGAGGAACAUCAGUGGCGAAGGCGGCCAUCUGGGACAACACUGACGCUGAGGCACGAAAGCGUGGGGAGCAAACAGGAUUAGAUACCCCUGUAGUCCCUGUCUCUUAUAC
rnacentral:rRNA from 1 species